CCGAGCCUAAGAUCUGCAGGAGCCUGCAGAGCUGGACUAUGCCAUGUUGCUCAUGCUAAAGCCACGAGUCGCCCGGGCGGCCAGGAACAAGAGGAGGACAAGACUUGCCAGAGGCUUUCGGGACCAAAGCUUGAGCUGUAAGCCAGCCAGUGAAUUCCCCAACUGAGGAAUGUAGCAGACUUCACAUGACACAAUUGGGCGUAGCUGAGCAGAACCUGUGGGGACCCAAGGAUGUGAUUGUCUCCAACUCCCUGC
rnacentral:lncRNA from 1 species